GAACCUUACCAGCCCUUGACAUGUCCCGUAUGGGGCCGAGAGAUCGGCUUCUUCAGUUCGGCUGGCGGGAACACAGGUGCUGCAUGGCUGUCGUCAGCUCGUGUCGUGAGAUGUUGGGUUAAGUCCCGCAACGAGCGCAACCCUCACCUUCAGUUGCCAUCGGGUAAAGCCGGGCACUCUGAAGGAACUGCCGGUGACAAGCCGGAGGAAGGCGGGGAUGACGUCAAGUCCUCAUGGCCUUUAUGGGCUGGGCUACACACGUGCUACAAUGGCGGUGACAGAGGGAGGCAAGGGGGCGACCCUGCGCCAAUCUCGAAAAGCCGUCUCAGUUCGGAUUGUUCUCUGCAACUCGAGAGCACGAAGCUGGAAUCGCUAGUAAUCGCGGAUCAGCACGCCGCGGUGAAUACGUUCCCGGGCCUUGUCACACCGA
rnacentral:rRNA from 1 species